GACUCCUUGCGGUUAUCCCACGGACUUCGGGUAUUGCCAACUCUCAUGGUGUGACGGGCGGUGUGUACAAGGCCCGGGAACGUAUUCACCGCGACAUGCUGAUUCGCGAUUACUAGCAACUCCGGCUUCAUGCAGGCGAGUUUCAGCCUGCAAUCCGAACUGGGAUGAGUUUUGUGAGAUUGGCUCCACCUCGCGGUCUUGCGUCUCUUUGUUCUCACCAUUGUAGCACGUGUGUAGCCCUAGACAUAAGGGGCAUGAUGAUUUGACGUCAUCCCCACCUUCCUCCCGGUUAACCCGGGCAGUCUCUUUAGAGUGCUCAACCAAAUGGUAGCAACUAAAAAUAAGGAUUGCGCUCGUUGCGGGACUUAACCCAACAUCUCACGACACGAGCUGACGACAACCAUGCACCACCUGUCUUCCUGCCCCGAAGGGCUUCCCCGAUUAAGGGUAAUUCAGGAGAUGUCAAGUCUAGGUAAGGUUCUUCGCGUUGCUUCGAAUUAAACCACAUGCUCCGCUGCUUGUGCGGGCCCCCGUCCAAUUCCUUUGAGUUUUAGUCUUGCGACCGUACUCCCUAGGCGGGGUACUUAUUGUGUUAACGGCGGCACAGAAGGGGUCGAUACCUCCUACACCUAGUACCCAUCGUUUACGGCGUGGACUACCAGGGUAUCUAAUCCUGUUUGCUACCCACGCUUUCAUGCCUCAGUGUCAGUUACAGUCCAGAAAGCCGCCUUCGCCACUGGUGUUCCUCCUAAUAUCUACGCAUUUCACCGCUACACUAGGAAUUCCGCUUUCCUCUCCUGCACUCUAGAUACCCAGUUUGGAAUG
rnacentral:rRNA from 1 species